rnacentral:rRNA from 1 species
GCAAGUCUGGUGCCAGCAGCCGCGGUAAUUCCAGCUCCAAAUAGCGUAUAUUAAAGUUGUUGCAGUUAAAAAGCUCGUAGUUGGACCUUGGGCCUGGACGGGCGGUCCGCCUCACGGCGUGUACUGUCUUGCCGGGCCUUUCCUCUUGGUGAUCUGUUGUUUCGGCAGCAGGGAACCAGGACCUUUACUUUGAAAAAAUUAGAGUGUUCAAAGCAGGCUCGACGCCGGAAUAUAUUAGCAUGGAAUAAUAAAAUAGGACGUGCGGUUCUAUUUUGUUGGUUUUUGGAAUCGCCGUAAUGAUUAAUAGGGACAGUCGGGGGCAUUAGUACUCACAUGCUAGAGGUGAAAUUCUUGGAUUUUGUGAAGACUAACUUCUGCGAAAGCAUUUGCCAAGGAUGUUUUCAUUAAUCAAGAACGAAGGUUAGGAUAUCGAAAGCGAUUAGAUACCGUUGUAGUCUUAACAGUAAACUAUGCCGACUAGGGAUCGGUCGAUGUUAUCUUUUUGACUCGAUCGGCACCUUACGAGAAAUCAAAGUUUUUGGGUUCUGGGGG